rnacentral:rRNA from 1 species
CCUACGGGGGGCUGCAGUCAGGAAUUUUGCGCAAUGGGGGAAACCCUGACGCAGCAACGCCGCGUGAGGGAUGAAGGCCUUCGGGUUGUAAACCUCUUUUAGUGGGGAAGAAAAAAAUGACGGUACCCACAGAAAAAGCACCGGCUAACUCUGUGCCAGCAGCCGCGGUAAUACAGAGGGUGCAAGCGUUAUUCGGAUUUACUGGGCGUAAAGAGCACGUAGGUGGUUCUUCAAGUCUGAUGUGAAAUCCCUGGACUCAAUCCAGGAAGUGCAUC